AACGAAUAAACAUAAUCUUCAACCAAAAGUAACUCUCUGGCUUCUCUUAUAUUCUAUGUUUAUUUAACAAUAUUUAUUUAUUAAUUAUUAUUGGGUUUGGUUUCUUUUCGUUUACGAUCCCUUCUCAGAAACUGUCUCCAAAUCUCCUACAAAUUGUUCUUUUUUAUAAUUUAAAUUCCACCGUUGAAAACGCCAUUAAUGACUUGUUUAUAGCAACCCUCGCACUAAACUAUAUGUAUUAUUUACAUUUUUCAAACUUUCUUUCGCCUUCUUUUCUGCUCUUAUGUUGACAUAAAUACAUAUCUUAUAAUCUGAAUCUCAAUAUAAAAUACCAUCUUCUAUAUUUCUUUUUUUUCUAACAAAAAACUAGCUUCAUCUUUUUCCAGCUUCAUUGCAAUUUGCAGCCAUGAAAACAGAGCGAAAAAUACCAAAGGUAACAAUUUUUUAUGUUAUUAAUGUUUUUUCCCUUUGUUGGGUUUCAGUUGAAUAUAUGUAUUAUAUGUAUGUAUAUUUUUAUACACACAAUAGUGGUGUAACUGUGUGUUCUUGAAUGAAUACUGAUGAGUUGAUUUUGACUUUUUUUCUUGCAGUCUUCGUGGACUAAAGUGGUUGUUAGGAAAUGGUUGAAUAUGAAAAACAAAUCGGAG
rnacentral:lncRNA from 1 species